CCGGUAAGAGUUCCAGUGGCAGAAGAAACUACAAGACUAGUAUUCCUUUUCUUUCUGGAAAACAAAGGCAAGGAAGAAAUGCCAUUCCCACCACUAGCACCAAGAGCACUAGCAGUGUCCCCUUGCUUUGAUGCAAGAGAAAAGGCAGAAACACUUCUCGAAAAAGUUGAAGCCAUAGCUUAGAAUUAGA